rnacentral:rRNA from 1 species
GAUGAACGCUGGCGGCGUGCCUAAUACAUGCAAGUCGAGCGAAUGGAUUAAGAGCUUGCUCUUAUGAAGUUAGCGGCGGACGGGUGAGUAACACGUGGGUAACCUGCCCAUAAGACUGGGAUAACUCCGGGAAACCGGGGCUAAUACCGGAUAACAUUUUGAACCGCAUGGUUCGAAAUUGAAAGGCGGCUUCGGCUGUUACUUAUGGAUGGACCCGCGUCGCAUUAGCUAGUUGGUGAGGUAACGGCUCACCAAGGCAACGAUGCGUAGCCGACCUGAGAGGGUGAGCGGCCACACUGGGACUGGGACACGGCCCAGACUCCUACGGGAGGCAGCAGUAGGGAAUCUUCCGCAAUGGACGAAAGUCUGACGGAGCAACGCCGCGUGAGUGAUGAAGGCUUUCGGGUCGUAAAACUCUGUUGUUAGGGAAGAACAAGUGCUAGUUGAAUAAGCUGACACCUUGACGGUACCUAACCAGGAAGCCACGGCUAACUACGUGCCAGCCGCCGCAGUAA